ACGGUGCUGCCAGAAUGGUCUAUACAAGCGCAUAUUUCAGUGGCUGAAAAUGAGUGACGCUCAUUUUUCACCACCAGUUUGAACGGCUCCUUGAAACAAUGGAGGCGAAUGUAGACAUUGGUCGAGGUUUUUGUGGAGGCAUUUCUAAUAUAAUCCCGGUGUAGGAAAAGUUGGAGGAAUUCAGAGAGGAACUUAAUGCACUGAGACCAUUAAUGCAUCUAGGUUCAGAAUGGCAGAAAGUUUGGAUUGACAUGAGGGGAAAGGUAAAGAAAACACUAGCACACAACAAGCGAGAAUUUAGAGCAACAGGUGGUGGCCCCAAUACAAUAAAGCUAUCGACGCUAAAAGAGAAUUACAUGUUGCAUUACAUGAAUAACAAAAAUUGUUUUGCUAAAAAAAGUGAAAUUCGUGCAUGACUCUUUCCGGAAUUUCAUAGAUUUUCUAAUAAUUAUAUUUUUUGUACAGUAAAUUGUUCCACGCUGUCGUUUUUAUAACACAUGAAUGCGUGCCUUACACCUAUUAAGCUUUAUUCUUUGAGGGAAUAUCAGUUUACUCCAAAACAACCAUAUUAACACUUUUGGAAAUACAUUUUCAUAGCAGAUGCCCCAAAAAAAGAUUUGGCUUCCUUUUUAUAGUGCUUCAUGAAACAUUUCAAACUUGUUUCAAAAUAUUUCAUCACAACCGCUGACAUUCGCUUGCCAACGAAUCGAGCAGUUUUCCUCGAUUUCUAUAAUUCCCCAGAUUCCUAUAUUUUCGAGCAGUUAUGGACACCAUGUUGGCCGAGCGACGAAAAGUGCUCCAAAAGUGCUGGAAUAUUACCUCACCUUGCCUCCCGCAGGCAACAAUGUCUAUAGUUUCAGCUAUAAUUCUACAAGAUAACUUGAACAGAGCGAUCACUGUAGCUUUGCUUUCUCUCUUUCUCGCUAAGCUGUCAUUUAAAACACGAAAGCGAGUGCUACAUUUAAAAACAAAACAUUGAAGCAGUGGUUGAAUGGUUACAACAGUAAAAGCUGUUGCGGCACAAAUUUCAUGCACCAAACCCGUCCUGGAGAACAUGCAGCUGGAACACCACCCAGCAAACAUUAAGUCGUAUGAAUAGCUAUAAUUGGAGGCGAUAUACAUACAACCAAGACACAUUUGUAUGAUAUAUGAUGCAGAUAACUAGCAUAUACACACAAAAGUGGAGGCGAUAUACGUAUAUGCCAUAUUUUGUACGCAUAUAAAGCCGUAUAUAACGAUAUGCGAUGCUUUUUGGACUGAUAUGCGAUUUGAUACGACAACGUUACCACUCAAUCCAUCGAUGACAUGGAAAAUCGUGUUUUUGCAUUUUAUGCGAUUUUAGAUAUAUAUGAUCGAUAUUUUGAUUGAUAUUUUAUGCGAUUGUGAUUUGAUACGAAAUUAUAUGUAACUUAUCAUGUGCAAAGUUAUACGAUUAAAUGUUUGCUGGGCACCCAGCAAACAUUAAAUCGUAUAAUUUUGCACGUGCCAAGUCUUACAAGAAAUCCGAAUAAAUCAUAAUCGCAUAUAAUAUCAAUCAAAGUAUGUAUCGUGUAUAUUUGAAAUCGCAUAAAAUGUGAAAAGUCGAUUUUAUGUACCAUUAUCAAAUUAGGUCGCAAUUAGGUAUAAUAAACAUCAAUUUUAUGAUGUACAUUGUCGUAAAAUAUAUUUAAUCCGCAUCAUAUGCGUAUAUUACGCUGAUGCAAUUUGUGUGUCGUAUAAGCGUAUAAUUUAAAUUGAUUCAGUACUGUAGUGAAUCGUGUUGCAUGUUGAAGAAAAUCAUGAAACAGUGAAUCAUAUUAGAUCCUAAUAAAGAACAUAUUACAUCAUAUUGAAAUGUCAAUGAAAUGCUGAUGCACUCGAAAGUUUUAACCGCUGUUGAAUUAAAUUUCAGAUAGCUGCGCGAGAUAGCUGGUGGAUGAUAAUCCAGACGACCGGAGUUCGAACCCACAUCGGAGCAGUUUUCACCAAACAUCAAUCUGUGCCAUUUUAAACAUUCAUAUUCCACUCCCAACACAAGUCAAUCAAACAAUUAUUAUUUCUGCAAACAUAGAUACUCAUAUAUAAAAAUGGCGAUUCGUGAGGCUAUAAUAAACAUUUCACGAAAAUAUUUUGCGCCAUUUGUUUUUUUUUCUAUGUCUGUAAUAAAUCGUAUAUGAGUAUGGCAAAAGUAGCUAUUAUAGCCGGUCAAAGUUGCAUAUUCAUCCAAACAAAUUAGGUAAGCAUUUGCCAUGUAUGUAUAUGGCCUCCACUUUUGCAUGUUAUAAAUGCGCAAGUAUACAAAGUUUGAAUUGUGACGUCACAAAUACAAUAGUCGACACAAAUACAAUAGUCGACACAAAUACAAUAGUCGACUCAAAUACACAGAAAAGUACAUGUAUAGUAAUUAGUUAGAUUUAUAAAAACUACAUGCAAUUCGAAUUAAAAAUGAACAUCACUACAAGUGUAAUACACGUAUAGUAAACAGUAAAUCGUUUAACCUACAUGAAGGUUCUUUUGUACACAUAUUUCUCUUUGUAAUUGGUUUGUCGUUUUCCCGAACUCAAAAGGAGUUGUCAGGCCUCGCCCGCUCUAGUUUGGUAGAAAGCGUGUGCCAUCGUCAGCCUUUGAGGAAGUUGAAAAACGGCUGAGGGCUCGGUCCCUUGUUGCGUGUGUAUAACACUUUUAUGAAAUUAAACCCGAACUCCCGAUUAACAGCUUGAUGCUGCCGGAGAGUGCUGGGGGAACGACCCUGUGGUGAGAACGUCGUGCGGUUUGAGCUAGACACUCACGAGUAACGGACAGGAAGUUACAUACCAGAGUUGAAUGA